rnacentral:rRNA from 1 species
AGAGUGAACGCUGGCGGCAGGCCUAAUACAUGCAAGUCGAACGGCAGCACGGCAGAGCUUGCUCUGUGGGUGGCGAGUGGCGGACGGGUGAGGAAUACAUGGGAAUCUGCCCAGUCGUGGGGGAUAACGUAGGGAAACUUACGCUAAUACCGCAUGCGCCCUUCGGGGGAAAGCCGGGGACCUUCGGGCCUGGCGCGAUUGGAUGAGCCCAUGUCGGAUUAGCUAGUUGGCGGGUAACGGCCCACCAAGGCGACGAUCCGUAGCUGGUCUGAGAGGAUGAUCAGCCACACUGGAACUGAGACACGGUCAGACUCCUAGGGAGCAGCAGUAGGGAAUAGUGGACAAGUGGGCACAAGCCUGACUCCAGCCAUGC